CUUGUGAAGGUGUUCUUCGGGGCUAGGGUUUUUGACGUGAAGCACCUGCUGCGUUAUUGCGUUGGCCUUUAUGGUGGGCUUGAUCGGGUCUGCCAGGCUUUGGGAGUUGAUCGGAUUACUGGGAAGAGCCAUCAGGCAGGAUCAGAUAGCUUGCUGACGCUGCACGCCUUCCAGAAGAUGAGGGAAAUGUAUUUCAGUAUGGACGGUGGGCUGGAGAAGUAUGCAAACAUAUUGUAUGGUUUAGAGGUUUUUGGAUAAUAUAAUUUGCUUUGCGUUAUGUUUGCAAUGUCUCUCUGCUCCAGUCCAAGUAAAGGCAAUUAAAUUUUUGUACACAAUUUGGGAGUUAUCAAUAUUAUGAUUAGUUGAAUUUAAUUAUUUCUAACUUAUUUUGCUUGACGGCCUCCUUAACUAUUGAUCUUUUUAGUACUUGAACUGUUGAACAUUUGCGGUCAUAUUUGCUAAUCUUGCUUAAUGUGUUCUGAGAGUGAUCGCCAGGGAGGUGUCAGACCCUUCUACUAUAACGUUUCUUUUUUCCUUUUUAAUCUUACUAUGGCUACUGAGUAAUAUAAACGCUUUGAUGUCUUGGCUAUGAUGAACAGCGAGUUCUGGAAGCUGUUGUUGCAAGGCUAUGGGUGAUGGAAAUUCCGUAUUGAGUUAUUGGUAAGGUUGUGGUAGAAAAUCUCUUGAAGUAUUGGGUAUAAGAUUCCAGAAAACAAAAAUGCAGCCUUGCUUACACAGUAAUAGUACUGACUUGCUAUUGAGGCUGGGUAACUGCUUUUGUUUUGGUUUCUUGCACAACAAUCAAUCACUCAGAGCAUUAAGCUUGCAAAUUUGGUGAAGAUGAGAAUUGCUCACUGAUUCUAGAUGUUGUGAAUGAACAGUGGCAUGCUUAGUGCAAGGAUGUUAACAUUGGUUUCUCCACCUGUGUGUCAAAAUUAGAUUUCCCAUCUCUGUAGGUUCUCUUUUCAUGAGUUUUCCCAGCUCUGAAGUCAUAUUCUAUCACCCAAGGCCCUUUUUUUUUAUUUAAAAAAGCAACUGAAAUUUAUGUAAUGUAAAAAUCGGAGCAGCAUCAACAUCAUAUAUAUUCUAUUCUGAGGUAAGUUUGGAUUACAUCACAUACUGACUUUAGAGAGGUUAAGAGAAGAACAUGUGAGAUUUUAGUUUGGAACCUUUGACAAUCAACAAGUGACAGGUUUGGAAAGCCAACACAAUCAGAAUAUCAGACUAUGAGAAAGGUAAUUAAACAAUAGUUGGCAUGUAGAUCAAAUUUAAAUUCUCAGGACAAAUUGUGUACCUGCUAAUGAGGUUAUCUUAAUUUAGGAACCAUCACUGCUGAAAACUGCAGCGAACAACAGUGGUUAUAGACAUAGCAGAGCAGGGAAUAUGCAUACUAGCUGUGAGGACGGGUACUAGGAUUGUUAAUGUUGGUUUUGCUUGUGUGGAUAUUAGUCCUAAGGUUGCAUCAUAUGCAUGUAGGGUGUGUUCGCACCCUUCUUUCACCUUUAGCCGGUGUUCCAAAUGCAAGAUGAUAAAUGGCUAUAAUAAUGGGUGUGAUCAUGUACAUUUUUCUCUCCCAUACUUGUAUGCCUCUAGUGUAAUGACUUAAGAAGUAAAGAGAGCCAGUGAGGAAACUGAAAGAUAACAUGAAAUCCUACUUCUGGUUUUCAGAUUCCUCGGCCAAGUGAUCAACGUGUUAAUUGGCCUCUUGGAAAGCAUUUUUUAGGUGCUUAUGAUCCAUCUGGUGCAUUUUAUGCUUUAUUUGCUACAGUAAUAAGCUUCGAGCAUCACAAGAUGGAUUUGGUGCAUUGACUUGCUAAUGCUAAAAUAUAAAUGAGCAACAAACUGGUAUGUAUAUAUAUGAUAAUCGAUGACCCGUCUUCAUUUGGUCAAUACCACCCUCUUUUUGAUGGUAUCAUCAGAUUUUAUUAAAUUAAUUGAAUGAGUCUGAUGAUUUUCAACAUUUUGAGGUUUUUUUUUUUUAAUUCAUGGGACCUGAAAUCUAACACCUGCUGAUUUAUUGUAAGUUCAUGGGCAAUGGAUCUUGAGGUGUUAUCACAAUUCUCUCUCUGGUGCUAGGGUAAACUCAUGGGGAUGAUAUUAAAUAUGUUUAUGAAGGGACUAAGAGUAAAAAGAAAAUUUCUAUGUUCAUUCUAGCUGUCAUUGCUAUAAAUGCUUCAGAAGGAUGUUUAUGUAUACAGGCAAGUGAAUUCAAUUCAACUUUUCCUAUUUUUGUGACUUGUUGAAGAAACUCUUGAUUUCUUAGGAGGUUUUCUGAAUCUUUCAUAUAAGUAGAGUCUGCAUGAAAAGCUUAAAAAUUUUGGUUCUCUUUAUAUUCUACAGAUGCAAAAUUGAGAAUCUUGUGUCAAAGUUGGUUUCAAUCACUAUAAAAUGGCUUAAGCUCCUUAUGGAUUUUUGCAUAUGAUCUUAAGACUUGGUCAAUAAUUCUCUGAGUUGAGUUGUUUUUGAAUAAAAAAAGUUCAGUAAUUGGCAAACUUCUCCAUUUAUUUCCCUCUGCAUUUCUCCAGUAAUUGACAAGCUUUGUUUUUAAAGUUUUUUUUGGAUGUUGUUCUUAAUGUCACUGUUUAAGGAAGUAUCCUACAGCUUUGUCUUGCAAUAAAAACUUUAACUCUUCUUUUUUGGCCAUGUAGGGCAUGGAAAGGGUGUAAACUGGGACAUUAUGCUUGCAUAGGAUCAUCAGUGCCAUUGAGUAAACAGCUCUCGAGCCUAAAAAUGGUAAUCUAUCAAGAAAUGAAGUUGUCCAAUGGAGAGUUGGUGGAAUUAAUGAAUAUUUUGUUCUUUGUGCAAUCACUAUCAAGAGAGAAGGGCUGAUCUGUAAAUUGAAUAUGGAAAAGGCUUGUGAUCUUGUAAACUGGACUUUUGUGGAUUACAUUCUCAACGGAUUGGGUUUUGGGUCAAAAUGGAGAAAGUGGAUGAAAUCUGGUAUUACAACAGUUUCUUUUUGCAGUUCUAAUAAACGAGGGGCCCUCAAAUUUUUUUGCAACAUGUAAGAGGGUUGAGGUAAGGGGAUCCUAUUUCUCUCCUUAUUUUCAUAAUUGUGAUGGAAUCCCUCAAUGGACUACUAGUUAGGGCGAAUAAUCUUUUGCUGUUGAGGGGUGUCUCGGUUGGUAGGGGUGAUAACAGCAUGGUGGUAACUCAUCUAUUCUUCGCUGACGAUACUUUAAUCUUUUGUAAACCUGCUCUGAAAAAUCUACUAUAUUUGAGAUGUAUCCUCCUAUGUUUUCAAGCGGUUUCAGGUCUUAAAAUAAACCUUAACAAAUCUGAAUUGGCCAGAAUAGGAGGCAGCAGUGAUGCUGGUCCUUUUGCUAGAAUUUUGGGAUGUAAAGAAGUAAAAUUUCCUUUUAAAUAUCUUGGCAAAAUAUAAGGACCUCUGUACUUGGGAACUGAUUAUUAAUAUGUUUGAAAAUAAGGUUGGAAAAGAGGUUUUUUGUCAAAAGGUGGAAGAUAUACUCUCAUCAAGAGCACCUUUACGAAUUUACCAAUUUAUUACUUAUCUACAAUAACUAUACUGGUGAAGGUGGUAAAAAGAUUGGAAAGUAUUCAAUGCAAGUUUUUGUGGGGCGAUGGAUAUCAAUUGGAAUGAUAUCAAAUUACCGCUUGAUCUUAGGGCUUUGGGGGUGCAUUCUAUGGUUAAAUUGAAUGAGGUCCUUCAAGGUAAAUGACUUUGGAGAUAUUGGGGGGAAGAAAAUCGUCUUUGGAGAAGGAUUAUUGAAGCUAGAUGGGGUGAGCACUUGCAGGGCAAUAACAAUGGCAGAAUCAAAAUUCCACAUGGGCGUGGGUUAAGGAGGAAAAUAUUAAUGUUGAGGAAACUCUUCCAGCAGUGUAUUAACUGGAAAAUUGGUAGAGGCAACAGUAUCAAAUUCUGGGAGGAUGAUUGGGUUGGCAAUAGGUGUCUUAGGUGGAGUUUUCUGAGAAUUUUUAAUAUUGCUCAAACGACUAAGAUGACUGUUGAGGAGGCCUACAGAGUCUUGAAUGGUAAUAUUGUCUGCUGUAUUAAUUUAAAACGGAAUUUAAAUGAUUGGGAGAUUGAAGAGUUUGAAGAUCUUCUGAAGUGUCUCGAGGCACAGCUUAUUUCUGAUAGGAACGAUCAGGUUGUUUGGAAGUUGGAAAAGAAUGGAAAAUUCUCUGUUUCUUCUUUUUACAAUUAUUUAUGUGAUAUGGGAGCUGUGAAUAGAUUGGUAUUUCCAGUAAAGCUAAUCUAGAAGACCAAAAUUCCACCCACAACUGUUUUUUUUUGCGUGGGAGACAUGCUGGGAAAGAAUUUAAACUAUGAACAGAUUGAAAAUCAUGGGCAGAAUUAUUGUUAAGGGGUGUUACUGCUGUUUUAAGGCUGAGGAGACGUGUAACCACCUACUGUUAUGGUGCCCCACUGCAUAUAAUUUAUGGUAUACAAUUUAUGGUUUAUUAGGAAUUAAUUGAGUCAUUUCAGGUUCGGUCGAAAGAGAGAUUUAGGUGUGGGAUGGUUUCUAUGUAAAAAGAAGUAUGAAAAACAUUAUUUCUUUAACUGUUUUUUGGGUCAUUUGGAAAAAGAAAAAUAGGAGAGUUUUUGAUAAUGUUGAAAAUAGUAUUAAUAGACUAAUAGAUAGGUGGAUAUACUUAUUCAGGUCGAUUAUACUUAGUCAUGAUAUUAUUAGUAAUGUGGAUUUUGAGAAUGUUAUUAACAUAUUAACUUCUAUGUAAAUAGUUUUGUACAUGGGUGGUACUCCCGUUUUUUUGGUAUCAUGAUUAAUACAUACUUUACACUUUUUAUUUUUUAAAAAAAAAAAUAUUUGUCCAUGUUGUGUCUUAUGAAUUAUGCAAAAUGUUGAUGUUAGUCCUGUUCUAUAGAACUGGGAAUGCAUUAGGUAAAUAAAAAAGAGAAUGAAAUGAUAGAAUCCAAUUUAAAUUGAAUCUUUCUGGGCCAUGGUGUAAAACAAUCUUAUAGAUGUGAAUUUUACUUCUUGAUAUUUUGAUCAUGGUAAAAGGGAGUGCCAGCCUAGCCCAGGGAGUUAGCCAAUUGUAAGUAUGCAAAUUGUUACUCCAUACAAUAAUCUUAUUGAAAUGGAUGACUUUAGACAUUUUUCUUCAUGCAGGCAAUCAACAUCUAUUACAAUCUUAGCUUGCAGGAGUUAUUGAAUCUUUAGCUCUCUAAGGUUGGAACUGUGCUCUGGAUCACCUUUUGCUCAAUCAUAAUUUGUAGGUUCGUUGAAAAAUAUAUCUGCUAAUUACAUUUAUUUUUUGGUAAAUAUUAGUUUAGUUUUUAUUAGUUGAGAGGAAAUGACAUGCUGGGAAGAUUCUACUUGUUUAUGAUGUAGUUAGAGGAACUGCUCUCGUUUUGUGAUGAAGGUUUAGAACCUGAAAAAUAUGCUCUCUUUUCCAAUGACUUAAGUUCUAUCAGGAUAUGCAUUGAAAGAAGCAUGGUUCUAGACUAACCUUGUGUUGAACAAAGUUUUUAAGUCUCAUUUUUUUUGCAUAGCCAACAUUAUAGGAUUUUGGAGAACCUUCUUUAUCCAUGUGAAGUUAUAGGAUUUUGGAGAACGUUCUUUAUCCAUGUGAAGGCAUAGAAUGGAAAUAUGCUCCUUCUUUCUGGUUCUCUCUUUGGAUCAAAUGAUUGAUGAUUUUCUCUCUUCUUUUUUUUUAUUUUAAAUGUAUUAGCAAAUGAAGGAAUAAAAUUAAGGAUCUGGAACUUGGCACUUCAAUUUUACUAGCAGGGUUUAAACUUGUUUUGGUGCAUUAUCGAGGAGAUAUAUCCGGCAUUGUGAUUUUAAUAUAUAUAUACACACUUUCCUUUUCCCUCCUGCCCUCUCUUUUGACUAAGGGUGUAUGGUGGUUGCUUCCAUAAAUUGAACAUUUAGUUGCCAACGACAACAAUAUGAAGCACCAAAAAGGACAGUGAUGAGAUGAGGUUGAAUAUAGCAUGGCACUGAGUACUAGCUGGUUGAAUUGAAUUGUUCAUCAAUCUGUGAUUAUUAAUGUGCCUGAUCAGUCCUACUUUUGGUUGCUAAAACCAGCCUAUUUACAACAAAUUUUAUGUUCCUUGGUGUUGGUCGGCUGUACCCCUAUAUGUUGUAUUACUCUUAACAUGUAAAAUGAACACAUGGUUUUUAUGUUUGAUCUUACCCCCUCACCACACUUUUGUACGAGGAGAUUAAACAUAAAGCUACAUUCUUAGUCUACAAGUCAACACUAAAAUAAAAUUGAUGGGUAGGAAUUAUGUGAAUGAAAUGUGAAUUGGACCGAAAUGGGAAUGAAAUGACAAUUGAACCAGAUGAUUUUUGGUUAAAGAAUUUUAGAUGCCAGGGUGCCUUUUCCUUUGUAAUCCCAUACAAGCCACUUUGUGUUUGCUUGUUUUUGCUUCUUCUAAUGCAGUGGCUGGUUGCUGAAUCCAAAUAAAAGACUACGUCCUUGAUUGAAUGCUGAUUAAGUCAUGCUCCUCAUGUUUCUGAAAGUUUUGGCAUCUUGUGCCUGUAUGAUGCUUUAAUGAGCAACAAUGCCAACACGGGAGAAUCUCUUCAACUGUGGCUGAAGGAUAUGGCAGACAGUAGAACAAUAUGGCAAUACAUGAUCCAGUUUGUGUGCUUAGACUGGUGGUUGGAUGAGCCUCUAUCCAAAUGCGAUUGGCCAGUGGCCUUUGCAUUCUUUAAGCAAAUUUGGCUGCUUUGGACAUGAGACAAGGAUGGAGAUGAAGGUUGUCUAUAAGCCAAAACCAAUGGCAGUUCUCUGACCUAUGGGGUCCUCUCCUCCCAGAGGGUGCCUCCCAAAAAAUUGGGUCUCUCAGCCAUAAGAUUGAAGUCUCCCUACAUUAAUUCGCAGACCUUGUCUUUUGGUAAACUGCUUCAAUGCUAGUUGUUAAUAAGAAACUACCAAAAGAAUUCACAGUCCACGUCCUUUUCUUCUUUUGCUUUGUAAGUUAUUUUCUUUCUCUCGUCUCCUUUUAUGAUAUGAAAAAGAAGGAAUCCAGCAGAUACAUAAAAUUUUUUUGUUGAUGCACAAGAAAAAUGAACGGUUCUGGAGCUUUCUUUGCUUUAACAAUGAUUGAGCAUCUGGGAACAACCCGGAACCAAAAAUGCACUGUUGUUAGGCACAUGAUUCGUGUUUUUUCAAGGAUUCCUUACAAGAGAAGCAGAGAGUUCAGACAGGAGAUCGACAUACUCUAUUAUUGCAUCAACAAUGGUUUUGAAUCAUGGAGCCAAAGUUCGUUGGUGUAUAUGAUUCUUGCGUGUUGAAUAUUUGGUUGUGGUCUCGAGUGGACAUAACAUGAGCUUGCACAAGAGCAUGCCAAAAAGGCAAUAAGAUUUUUUUAUCUACCUACCUGUCUAUCCAUUGAAGGUAGUCAUGUUUUAAGGUUAUCCAUUAUAUUUUGAACUAUGUACCCAGAAUUUAAUUUAAACCCUAAUGUUCUACCAAGCAA